AGCUCCAAUAGCGUAUAUUAAAGUUGUUGCAGUUAAAAAGCUCGUAGUCGGAUUUCGGGUCGUCUGGUCCGGUCUGCCGUUGGGUAUGCACUGGUCUUGGGCGGCCUUUUCGCGUGAGGCCGCGCGUGUCGUUUGUUCGUCGCGCGCGGCGCUCUGCACGUUUACUUUGAGAAAAUCAGAGUGUUCAAAGCAGGCCUUUGCCAUUGUAUGUGUUAGCAUGGGAUAAUGGAAUAGGACCUUGGUGCUAUUUUGUUGGUUUCGAACGCCGAGGUAAUGAUUAAUAGGGAUAGUCAGGGGCACUCGUAUUCCGUAGAGAGAGGUGAAAUUCUUAGACCCACGGAAGACGCACUACUGCGAAAGCAUUUGCCAGGGAUGUUUUCA
rnacentral:rRNA from 1 species